GAAAGUAAGCAAGGGCAGACGGUGGAUGCCUUGGCUCUCGGAGGCGACGAAGGACGUGAUAAGCUGCGAAAAGCCCGGGGGAGGCGCAAAUAGCCCUUGAUCCCGGGAUAUCCGAAUGGGGCAACCCGGCAGGUUGAAGGCCUGUCAUCCCGAAAGGGAGGCGAACGUGGGGAACUGAAACAUCUAAGUACCCAUAGGAGGAGAAAAUAAACAAUGAUUCCGUAAGUAGUGGCGAGCGAACACGGAAGAGCCCAAACCCGUGUCGUCUAGGCGAUACGGGGGUUGUAGGACCACGACGUGGCAAGAUAGAGUCAAGUGGAACGCCUUGGAAAGGGCGACCGUAGAGGGUGAUAGUCCCGUACACGACUGACGAUUGAAGCCUAGUGGUAUCCUGAGUAGCGCGGGGCACGAGAAAUCUUGCGUGAAACAGCGGGGCCCAUCCCGUAAGGCUAAAUACUCCCGAGAGACCGAUAGCGAACCAGUACCGUGAGGGAAAGGUGAAAAGAACCCCGAGCAGGGGAGUGAAAUAGACCCUGAACCCGUCUGCCUACAAGCGGUCGGAGCGUCGUAAUGACGUGACGGCGUGCCUUUUGCAUAAUGAACCUACGAGUUACCUUCCCCGGCAAGGUUAAGUACCUAAGGUACGGAGCCGAAGCGAAAGCGAGUCUGAACAGGGCGCCAAGUCGGGGGGGGUAGACGCGAAACCGAGUGAUCUACCCUUGGCCAGGUUGAAGGUUGGGUAACACCAACUGGAGGACCGGAUGGGUAAGCGUUGAAAAGCUUUCCAAUGAGCUGAGGGUAGGGGUGAAAGGCUAAUCAAACUCGGAGAUAGCUCGUACUCCCCGAAAUGCAUUUAGGUGCAGCCUCUUUAUAGUAUAUCGUGAGGUAGAGCGACUGAUUGGAUGCGAGGGCUUCACCGCCUAUCAAGUCCAGAUAAACUCCGAAUGCGCGAUAUAUAUUUACAGGGAGUGAGGGCGCGGGUGCUAAGGUCCGUGUCCGAGAGGAGAAGAAUCCAGACCACCGGCUAAGGCCCCCAAAUGAUCGUUAAGUUGAACUAACGAGGUCGGAUCGCAGAGACAGCUAGGAUGUUGGCUUGGAAGCAGCCAUUCAUUUAAAGAGUGCGUAACAGCUCACUAGUCGAGCGAUCUGGCGUGGAUAAUAAUCGGGCAUAAACGAUCUGCCGAAGCCGUGGAUGUCGCAAGACAUGGUAGGGGAGCAUUCCAUGCGGCGUCGAAGAUGAGGGAUGACCCUUGUUGGAGCGCAUGGAAAAGCAAAUGUAGGUAUGAGUAACGAUAAGGGGGGCGAGAAACCCCCCCGCCGAAAGACCAAGGUUUCCUGAUCAACGCUAAUCGGAUCAGGGUGAGUCGGGACCUAAGGCAAAGCCGAACGGCGCCGCCGAUGGAAGAAUGGGUUAAUAUUCCCAUACUGCCUCAUGGAGUGACGUGGAGACGGAGAAGUGACAGUCCUGCCGGCUGACGGAAUAGCCGGUUGAAGGGUGUAGGUGUCGAUCGCGGUAGGCAAAUCCGCCGCGAGAGCCGAACCUGACAGUAUACGGAGCGCUUGCGCAACGUAAUAUGGACGUAACCAUGCUCCCAAGAAAAUCCGCUAAACUUAUCCAUGCGGCACCCGUACCGUAAACGGACACACGUGGUCGGGUUGAGAAUACUGAGGCGCUCGAGUGAUUCACGGUUAAGGAACUAGGCAAAUUGACCCUGUAACUUCGGGAUAAAGGGUCCUCGUCGUAAGGCGAGGCGCAGAGAAUAGGUCCAGGCAACUGUUUAACAAAAACACAUGGCUGUGCUAAAUGGAAACAUGACGUAUACAGCCUGACACCUGCCCGGUGCCGGAAGGUUAAGAGGAGAUGUCAUCCGCGAGGAGAAGCGUUGAAUUGAAGCCCCGGUAAACGGCGGCCGUAACUAUAACGGUCCUAAGGUAGCGAAAUUCCUUGUCGGGUAAGUUCCGACCUG
rnacentral:rRNA from 1 species